UUUCAUCAGGCUCCAUCCUGUGGCAUCAGGCAUUCCCAGGCUCUUCCUCUGACAGGCUAGUCUUCACCCCAUCCCAGCAGGCUUCAUCCCUGAACUGCCAGGCACCCUCCUCCCACCCGUUUGCUCAAUAGACUUUUGUAAGAGGCGCACUCUGGGGGAUUUCCAUGUCAUUUUUCGCCCAAGCUGGAUUUGUUUUCCUUCUCCCACGAAAGGCGAAAAAAGAAGUCACGUUGACAAGCAACUUCUGGCUGCUCUCCUCAGUUCUGCUGGCCUUUCUUAUGUUGUUGCAAACAGCCACAGGGGGCAGACUACUGACAGUGUUCUACAGCUAUUUACUGCAACAAGCAGCCCCACUUUUUGACAGAUGAACAGUGCCUUUAUUUUAAUUCUUCCCCCUAACUUGUGUGCAAAACUGUAAUACUGCUCAAACAAAGGUUUGUACUUUCAGCUGUAUCCUAGCAACCAUAGGCAGUGAAAAUACAUACAAUAGCACUUCCAUGAUUUUUUUAAUGGAACCUACUGCAGCUGGUAGAAUAACUAAACAUGCUUGGAUUCCUAGCAACAACAGGGAGUGGAAAUGUAAAAUUAGAGGGCAUGGUCAUUAGGAAAAUGUGUGAUUGAUCCUACAUAGAGGUAGAACUGCUGGUGUGAAUUGAAAAGACCGUGUUUGCAGCUAGCAUUGAGCACUCACUGCAGACAGUGCAAAUAGAAAAUGGAGGUAAAAACAGUGUCUUUAGUACAAAGUAAUGCUCCCAUGUGGAUAAGCCCUUAGAGGCUGGUAUCACCUCUUGAGUGUCUCUUGAGCCUUUAGAAACUGUCAGCAAGUACCAUUAAAGUUCCAAUACAAGCAGCCCUAUUUCGGGGGGGGGAUGGGACCACCCCCUCAGAUUUUGGGGGGAAAUUGUCUUUUUAAUUUGUGACAUGACAGACAAUUACAACCUCCAUUUAAAUAAUGAUAGCUUGUUUUAAGAACAGGAGCAAUGUAAGAAUAGGACCCUUUGAAAAGUUCAGUGAAUAAGGCAGGGCGAGUGCACAACAAAAGCCUCAUCUGGAAGAGCCCCCCAAAAUCUGCUCACUUAAGACUUUCCCUGAGGGUGAAUUUUUCAUGAUUAUAAUCACCCUAUAAUUUCUUAAGUGAUCCUGAAAAAAACCAGCCUGUAUAGUAACAUUACCCUUGGAGAGUUAAAAAUUAGAACUUUGUAUUAUGGGCUAGAGUUAGACUCCACCCCUUGGACUUCCCUUUUCUCUGAUUGUCAGUUUCAGUUGUGUUUUCUACCCACACAGCAAUAAAGAAGCAAGUUUGUUUGUCUGCAGUAGAAGUAAGAGUUUGUUUAUUCUGCAGUCAUUAUGAUGAGUAGAGCAGGAUUGGGUGCUUAUUGCUAAAGUGUGAAAUAAAGAGAUAAAUUAAUGUGAUCUGAAAAAAUUGUUACCCUAAGUUAACUCUUUACUGUUUUAAAGCACUCACAAUACUCAUAACCAUAGUGGCUAUUUUAUCUCCUCAAGGAAUAGAAACACUGCUAUGCAGGCUACAGUUAGAUGGCUGGCUGGCUGGCUGGCCGGCUGGCCACCUAGGCUGUAACUCAAUAUUUCCCUAAUAUGUUCAACUUAGUAUGAAAGAAAACUUUAUUGCAAACUUAGCCAUAGGCCAUGUGCAAAAUAUAUAUACAUACAUACAUUUAAAACAACAUAUCAUAUGCCGACACAUCUUGUGUAGAGUCUGUCAUAGUGUCCUUCUCUAUAACAAGGGAUUCUCUCAAUUUUUGUGCUGCCAUUGCAAAAUUGGCCGUUGCGAUGGUCACUGAAAUAAAAUCAUCUGAUAAAAGCAUGUUUAUCAUUUCUUUGUCAGAAGAAGGUCUUAGGAAGUUUAAAAAAGGGGAUAAUUUUUUUUUCCUAGGGUCAUUAUAAAGAGGGCAAUGAAGUAAAUAAUGGGCAAUGUCCUCAAUGGCUUUGCAGCCAUAGAUACAUUGUCGAUCGGCCACUGGAAUGCCACGAAACCGUCCUUCAAGGUAGGCUGUGGGCAUUACUUGGAAGCGAAGAGCUACAAAAGCUCUUCUAAUGGGGGCUCUAUCUAAAACUUCUAAGUAAUUUGACAUAUAAUGAUUACGUUUAAAAGAGGGAUACCAUCUUGAGAAGGGGGCCGACUCUAUGGAUGCACGGUCCUGAGCUGCGUCAUGGUCAAAAAUCCAUUCGCGAAGAGCAGUAUUAUUUAGCUCCAACAAUUUAGAUGGAGAAAGGUCAUAUUUUGAAAGUAGGGUUUGCCAUUCUGUGACCCCUUCGACAGACUGCAUUUGGUCUUGCCAACAUUGCUUAGCCAGGGUUACAUCUUCCAUAUUGAUAAGGCGAAGCCAAUAUCUUAAAAGUGCUAAGUCUAUACGGGCUGUGACUGAAGGCAGCCCCAAUUCGGCUCUGAGAUGGGCAGCCGGUGUUCCCUGUGGAAGGCCCAGCACUUGCCUCAUGAAAUCAUUCUGGAAAGACUCCAGUUUAGAUCUAGCUGCCGUUCCCCAUAGUUCAACACCGUAUAAGAUUUUAGGGAGUAUUUUUGCUUUUAAUAUUUUUAUCAUCGGGGGAAUAAGUUGGCCUCCUUGAGCAAAAAAAAACUUUUUGGCUGAGCCCAGAGCACAGGAUCUGGCUAAGGCUGCUGCCUUGAUUUGCAGGGUCCAGGAAAGUCUAUUGGACAGAAAAAUUCCCAGGUAUUUAAAGGUCGAGACCUGUUCUAAUGGGGCACCGUUUAGAAGCCAGCUAUUUUUAGCUUUCAUAAAUUUUCCGCAAAUCAUAACUUUGGAUUUAGACUGGUUAAUUGUCAGCUUCUGAGACUCACAAUACUCUACCAAUUUACGGAUCAUACGUCUGAGCCCAAUUUUUGUUAUGGAACAUAAAACCACGUCAUCGGCAUAAAGGAGGGUAGCUAUCUUUUUAUCUCCGAUUGAGGGGGGGAAGAAGGAAGGAGAUGUUAAUGCUUCCACAAUAUCGUUUAUAAAGAAAUUAAAUAAGAAGGGAGCCAAUAGGCAACCCUGCUUGACCCCCCCCACAAACUGGUAUUUUAGAUGACAAGGAACCCUUGUUCCCUAGAUGCACCUGGGCUACGUUAGAUUGGUAGAGAGCUCUAAUCAGCCAGUACAGCCUUUUAUCUAUAUUUGUUUGGGCCAAUUUUUGCGAUAGGAGUCCUCUGUCCACCGAAUCAAAAGCCGCCCUGAAAUCUACAAAGGCUAAAUAUAUGGAUGGAUAUGCUUUGGAUCUUGUUUUCUUCAUAAGGUGGUGCAAUAUGAAAAUCUGGUCUAUUGUACUUUUUUUUGGUCUAAAGCCGGCCUGUUCUUCGCAUAUUAUCAGAUUUAGCUGUUCCCAAUCUUUUAACUUAUUUAGGAGCAGUCGGCUAUAUAAUUUUGAUGAUGUAUUAAGGAGACUUAUAGGGCGAUAGUUUGCUGGAUUAACAGGGUCUCCCUUUUUAAAAAUAGGGACUAUAAUGCUAGUUAGCCAGCCAAGCGGAAUCCUACC